rnacentral:rRNA from 1 species
UACGGAGGGUGCAAGCGUUAUCCGGGUUCACUGGGUUUAAAGGGUGCGUAGGCGGGUUGGUAAGUCCGUGGUGAAAUCCCCAAGCUUAACUUGGGAACUGCCGUGGAUACUAUCAAUCUUGAAUAUCGUGGAGGUAAGCGGAAUAUGUCAUGUAGCGGUGAAAUGCUUAGAUAUGACAUAGAACACCAAUUGCGUAGGCAGCUUACUACACGAUCAUUGACGCUGAGGCACGAAAGCGUGGGGAGCAAACAGG